rnacentral:rRNA from 2 species
UAACGCAUUAAGUGUACCGCCUGGGGAGUACGGUCGCAAGAUUAAAACUCAAAGGAAUAGACGGGGACCCGCACAAGCGGUGGAGCAUGUGGUUUAAUUCGAAGAUACGCGAAGAACCUUACCUGGGCUUGAUAUCCUAAGAACCUUUUAGAGAUAAGAGGGUGCUAGCUUGCUAGAACUUAGAGACAGGUGCUGCACGGCUGUCGUCAGCUCGUGUCGUGAGAUGUUGGGUUAAGUCCCGCAACGAGCGCAACCCACGUAUUUAGUUGCUAACGGUUCGGCCGAGCACUCUAAAUAGACUGCCUUCGUAAGGAGGAGGAAGGUGUGGACGACGUCAAGUCAUCAUGGCCCUUAUGCCCAGGGCGACACACGUGCUACAAUGGCAUAUACAAUGAGACGCAAUACCGCGAGGUGGAGCAAAUCUAUAAAAUAUGUCCCAGUUCGGAUUGUUCUCUGCAACUCGAGAGCAUGAAGCCGGAAUCGCUAGUAAUCGUAGAUCAGCCAUGCUACGGUGAAUACGUUCCCGGGUCUUGUACUCACCGCCCGUCACACCAUGGGAGUUGAUUUCACUCGAAGCCGGAAUACUAAACUAGUUACCGUCCACAGUGGAAUCAGCGACUGGGGUGAAGUCGUAACAAGGUAACCGUAGGAGAACCUGCGGUUGGAUCACCUCCUUUCUA